ACAUUCAAUUUCUACACACAGAUUUUUAACUGCAACCUCACAAAUCUGAUAAUUACAAAUUCAAACCUUGUGUGCAUCUUCUACGGCUACAAUUAGGCGUAGGAGAUACACACAGACAAAACUGUAUUCAUGCACAGAUCCGGUUAGAAGUGCACAAGGACUUUUGAGGCUCAUUUCACGCUUCCAGCAGCCUCAGAUUUGUGUGCAAGUGGUGCAUUUCAAUGCUGGUGGAAAGCUGGGUCAUCCGAUUCUUGUUCAAAGUCCAGUGUUUUUAAUUUUCUGAACGUUGCUGUACUUGUGCCGAAGUGGCAAGGAUGUUAUUUCACUGAAAACAGAAUACCUCAACACUUUUCAAUACUCCAAAAUUAUUUAUUAACAUAUUGUGCAUUUUUCAGCCGUACAGUUGAGAUUACAUGGUUUAAAAGAACGACCACAAGGUGGUGGAAUGGUUCGUUGGCUGGAAAAACAGGCCAUCAUACAACAUGGAGCGUCCCGGUGGUCUGCCCUCACAAGUCAGUACAAGUUAAACCUCCACGCUUUGCUCUCCAAUUAUAAUGGAACAUCUAGUAAUUUGAAAUAAUUUCUAGUAGUUUGAUACUCUGUCCUUUUUCUGUCAGCAGGAGCCAGUGUCCAUGUGAGUGAUGCUACUUUAGCUGUUGGUAGCCAAGUCCUUGUAUUUUUAAUGUCACACUUUAAGAAAGUAUAUUCAGUCCAUGAAAAUGAUCUCUACGGUGGUUCUUACAGUAUCUGUUCUGCCUAACAGGUUCCAAUCAAAUUCUAAAGUCACGUUGCCGAUUGAUAAUAUUUUUGUAGUGUGUAAAAUAUUCUGAUAUGCCUUUUACUUUAUUCACUAAGUGAAUAUAAUUUAGUCAAAUAAACUGCCUUUCAAUUGUAAUUUAUUGAAUUUCUAUAUGUAUAAAUGACCUUAUAUUUACACACAGGACAGAGCAGCUGACUGAUGGAUUGGGGUCACAUGUUAUUUUACUUACUGGAGGAUCAGGACCUUUCAGAUCUCAUCAACCCUCUGAUCUGAUGGAGCGGCUGCUGGAACACACUGACCCUCUACAACAGGGGUCCUCAAAUCCAGACAUCGAUUUCGGUGUCCUGCAUCAUUUACAUAUGUUCCUAGUCCAAGCCACCUGAAUCAAAUGGCUGCUUGAGGUCCUGAGAAUGACCUCAGGAUUUGAGUCGGAUGUGUUAAAGCAGACCUGCUUCCAGAUUGUGUGUCAUCACUGUUACAGCAGUCCUGACACCCGGGACCUGUAACACAGAGACAUCUAAACAUUGGAGAACACCGAACCCUCCUGAACUGGAGGUUCAGCUGUUGGAUUCAAGUGUGUUGGAUCAGGGAAACGACUAAGAGUUGCAGGACACCUGACCUCCAGGACCAUUGCUGCCCAUCCCUGCCCUAGAAGCUAAUGAAGAGAAAUACUAAAUUUAAACAAAAAAAUAG